UACGUAGGUGGCGAGCGUUGUCCGGAUUUACUGGGCGUAAAGGAUGCGUAGGCGGAUAUUUAAGUGAGAUGUGAAAUACCCGAGCUUAACUUGGGUGCUGCAUUUCAAACUGGAUAUCUAGAGUGUGGGAGAGGAGAAUGGAAUUCCUAGUGUAGCGGUGAAAUGCGUAGAGAUUAGGAAGAACACCAGUGGCGAAGGCGAUUCUCUGGACCAUGACUGACGCUGAGGCAUGAAAGCGUGGGUAGCAAACAGG
rnacentral:rRNA from 1 species